UUGUCUUUCCAGGGUUGUUUGUAUUGGAGAGGCUACUGAUUGUGCACACACAUGACCCGGGGCUCCAGGGCAGACACUCCCGCUCCAGAUUCUCGGUAAUCCGGGCAGAGAGCUGCUGAUCAAGCAACAGCGGGGGCCGCACACACAAAGCUUCCUGCUGAGUUGCCAUGGUUUGUGUCCCCGUACCCUGAAGGGGCAGUUUUCAGUCUAAGAGGUCGUGCUUAGAGCCCGUCAUCAACACUGAGGACUGAGUGGGGUGAAAAUGGGGGUGCUGCCCUAACUUUUAAGAUAAGAAGGAUGCUUCCUUUACUCCACACUCCAGCCUGGGGCCAAGGUUUCCCAGCAGAUGAGACAAAAGAAAAUCCUGCUCUCUUGGACCUGGCAUUUUAAUGGAGAGGAACAGAGCAGAUCUGGUUCCUGAGCCCGAGAGCUGCACGUCUGAGUGCCUAAUGAACAUAUCUAAACCUGAUCUUCCACAUCCUGCUGCUCCGUCAGAAAACAUCUUCCUCGCUUGCACCCACACGACACCCCACAUCCAGUCACCAAGCUCUGCCGACCUUGCCUCCUGGGCAGAAUGCAAUUCCCGACAUUGGUUGUACGCCCCCUGCUCCUCCUCGGUCCUGGCCGUCAUUUCUCGACUUGGCUUCUUCCAACCCUUCACUGCCUUCCUAUCCAUUGUGCACGCUGCAGCCAGAGCAACAUUUCAAACAAACAAAUCUGAUCAUCUCAUUAAUCCGUCUAAAGUCUGUCAGUGGCUUCCCAUGGCCCAGGAAAAAGUUCAAAUUCUUUAAUGUGGUGUGGCUGACAAAGUCCCUCUCUUUUUCUCUCUCUCUCACGGAUGUGUGUAUGCCUGCUUGCGUGACUGUGCACACACCUGAGCCUACACAUUUGCUGCUUUCUCUUUCCAGAAUGUUCCCCCCAUCACCUUGCUCUCUUCUACUGGGGUCCUCCGGUUCCUCCUGUGAGUUCAGCUGCUUGUGUUGCCGGCAGGUUAUGGGCCUCACACUUGGCUGUGAGCAUCUGCUUGUUUUGGUGUUCCCUCGACUGUGCCUGACACAGGGGAAUUAGAGAAUGCCGGCCGGGGGUCCCACCCCUUGGUUCGAUCCUGCUUCUGCCACUUCCUUGGGCCGUUACCUAACUUUUCUUAAGCUGUGUGGGCAUCUGUAGAAUGGGGAUCAUGGUGAACUUAACCUCCUAGAUUGUUAUAAGACAUGUGACAUGCCCAGAAGUGCAUCUCUGUUCCUGCUGUGACUUGCAUGGUGACUCUCACUCUUCUGGUCUCGGCUUAAUGAGGCUCUCCGGUUGUCCUUGAGAUGCCCUCUGUUUUCAUGGCUCCCACAGGUGCCCUGCACACAUGCACCCCCUCUCUGGAAGUCAUUCAUAGAUUAUUGCUAGUGUGUGGUAACAUUAAUUGUCUGCUGGUGUGUGAGUGCCUGGGGGUGGAGGGGAAGACCAAUCUCUUGUUUCCUACGAAUUCCUGGUGUUUGAUACAGAACAUGGGACCAUGUAGUUUGGUACACGUGGAGGUCAAUAAAAAAGGAGAAGCUGUGGAAUGCAUGGGACAGAUGCAGGACUUGGCUAAUCUGACUUGAGAGUCAUGGGACCCUGUAACACCUGAGCAGGAUACUCCACAUCUGGAAACGCACUCUGUCAUUCUGUAGCAGAGAAGAGCUUCCACAAAUGUAUUUCUAUAUGGGUUUAAAAAAAAAAAUGCUUGUUUUCCAGCCGUGUUUCUAACUUAGAGACUGUUAGAACAUGUGACUGGAUGUCCAAAUGGUGGACCCACCUUUGCCAGCCGGGGGGUAGAGGGCUUUAGAGCUGAACCAGAGGAACCCCACACGCUCCUCAGUCUGCAGUGUCUCUCCACUUUGGGAGGCUCCUCUUUUAAGGGGCAGUGUUAUCUACUUAUCGAUGCCCCCCACCCCAACCUGUCCCGGGAGCAGCCAGUGCUCCUUCAUGUCGCUGUGCCCUGAGGCCCACGUCCAAGUUGGGGGUGACCCCAGCUCACGCAGCCAUUUGGCUCCUUUAAGAGCUGGGACAGGUUCCCAGAGCCCUGCAGCUCCUCCGCAGCCAGGAGCAGAGACCAGCUGUCGGCACCGCCCCGCCCCCCCAACGUCUCUGUGUUUACAUGCACGGUCACAUGGUAACCUCUCCCAGCUCGUGGGCUGGCUGCACAGUUACCUCAUCUGCAGUCCAAUGACCUCAUCCACGUAAAAUGUGGCAAGUGCGAGACAGGAGCAGAAAGGGCCCAGCUUCUCACUCAGAGCCCCCAGGAGAAGCUGUCCUCCGCACUGGCUCAGGAAAUCAGCCAGAGAGCUGUCCACUCGGUAAUUACUCCCGGCCA